CAAUAGCGUAUAUUUAAGUUGUUGCAGUUAAAAAGCUCGUAGUUGGAUUUCGGAUGGGACUUGCCGGUCCGUCGUUGCGAUGUGCACUGGCCAGUCCUAUCUUGUUGUCGGGGACUAGCUCUUGGUCUUCACUGGCCGGGACUAGGAGCUGACGAGGUUACUUUGAGUAAAUUAGAGUGUUCAAAGCAAGCCUACGCUCUGAAUACAUUAGCAUGGAAUAACACGAUAGGACUCUGGCUUAUCCUGUUGGUCUGUGAGACCAGAGUAAUGAUUAAGAGGGACAGUCGGGGACAUUCGUAUUUCAUUGUCAGAGGUGAAAUUCUUGGAUUUAUGAAAGACGAACUACUGCGAAAGCAUUUGCCAAGGAUGUUUUCAUUAA
rnacentral:rRNA from 1 species